CAAUUUUUGAUGAAAUCAAACAAAGUUUAAUUUUGGACCCCGAUUCGGACCAACUUGAAAACUGGGCCAAUAAUCAAGAAUCUAAGUACAUUUUAAGAUUCAGCAUAUCAAAGAACCUAACUGAUUCAUUUUUUGUCAAAAUCAAACUAAGUUUAAUUUUGGACCCUUUGGACCUUAAUGUAGACCAAUUUGAAAACGGGACCAAAAGUUAAGAAUCUACAUACACAGUCAUGACAGUUAGAUUCGGCAUAUCAAAGAACCCCAAUUAUUCAAUUUUGAUGAAAUCAAACAAAGUUUAAUUUUGGACCCUUUGAGCCCCUUAUUCUGUUGGGACCAAAACUCCCAAAAUCAAUACCAACCUUCCUUUUAUGGUCAUAAACCUUGUGUUUAAAUUUCAUAGAUUUCUAUUUACUUAUACUAACGUUAUGGUGCGAAAACCAAGAAAAAUGCUUAUUUGGGUCCCUUUUUGGCCCCUAAUUCCUAAACUGUUGGGACCUAAACUCCCAAAAUCAAUCCCAACCGUUCUUUUGUGGUCAUAAACCUUGUGUCAAAAUUUCAUAGAUUUCUAUUAACUUAAACUAAAGUUAUAGUGCGAAAACCAAGAAAAUGCUUAUUUGGGCCCUUUUUGGCCCCCAAUUCCUAAAAUGUUGGGACCAAAACUCCCAAAAUCAAUACCAACCUUCCUUUUGUGGUCAUAAACCUUGUGUUAAAAUUUCAUAGAUUUCCAUUCACUUUUACUAAAGUUAGAGUGCGAAAACUAAAAGUAUUCGGACGACGACGACGACGACAACGACGACGACGACGCCAACGUGAUAGCAAUAUACGACGAAAAAUUUUUCAAAUUUUGCGGUCGUAUAAAAACUGCAAAAUUUCCUUAAAAUUACCAAUUCAGGGGCAGCAACCCAACAACCAGUUGUCCGAUCCAUCUGAAAAUUUCAGGGCAGAUAGAUCUUGACCUGAUUAACAAUUAAAUUCCGUUAGAUUUUCUCUAAAUGCUUUGGUUUUUGAGUUAUAAGCCAAAAACUGCAUUUUACCCCUAUGUUCUAUUUUUAGCCGUGGCGGCCAUCUUGGUUGAAUGGCCGGGUCACUGGACACAUUUUUUUAACUAGAUACCCCAAAGAUGAUUUUUGCCAAGUUUGGUUAAAUUUGGCCCAGUAGUUUCGGAGAAAAAGAUUUUUGUAAAAGAUUACUAAGAUUUACGAAAAAUGGUUAAAAAUUGACUAUAAAGGGCAAUAACUCCUAAAGGAGUCAACUGACCAUUUCAGUCAUGUUGACUUAUUUGUAAAUCUUACUUUGCUGAACAUUAUUGCUGUUUACAGUUUAUC
rnacentral:lncRNA from 1 species